rnacentral:rRNA from 1 species
CCUACGGGAGGCAGCAGUGAGGAAUAUUGGUCAAUGGGCGCGAGCCUGAACCAGCCAAGUAGCGUGAAGGAUGACUGCCCUACGGGUUGUAAACUUCUUUUAUAAAGGAAUAAAGUGAGGCACGUGUGCCUUUUUGUAUGUACUUUAUGAAUAAGGAUCGGCUAACUCCGUGCCAGCAGCCGCGGUAAUACGGAGGGUGCGAGCGUUAAUCGGAAUUACUGGGCGUAAAGCGCUCGUAGGCGGUAUGUCAAGUCAAGGGUGAAAUCCCCGCGCUCAACGUGGGAACUGCCUUUGAAACUGGCAAACUGGAGUGUGUGAGAGGAUAGUGGAAUUCCAGGUGUAGGAGUGAAAUCCGUAGAUAUCUGGAGGAACAUCAGUGGCGAAGGCGACUAUCUGGCACAUAACUGACGCUGAGGAGCGAAAGCGUGGGUAGCAAACAGGAUUAGAUACCCCUGUAGUC